rnacentral:tRNA from 1 species
GCCGGCAUAGCACAACGGUAGUGCAGCAGUUUUGUAAACUGAAGGUUGGGGGUUCGAAUCCCUCUGCCGGCACCA